GAAUUAAAGCGCAUCAAGAUUUGUAUUUUGCUACUUCAGAUCAUGAGCAGCCCAUCUAAAGACCCAGGAUCAUCUGAUCACUGCUUUAAUAUUUUGAUGAGCAAGGGAUAUGACCAUCAAGACGCAGAAAUGAUGAGUAUGUAUUUAAUGGAAACAAAGCCGAGGUCCCCUUCAUUGUUGCCCUCUCCUCUCCCUGAAUCCUUAGCAGGCACUAAGUUGAAUAUUACAGAUCAUACAUUCACUGAUCAGACUCCUCCACAAAGCAUUCAGAAGGAAUGCAAGGCCAAAAGAAAAUUAAACUUCGAUGAUCAAGUGUCACCUUGUAGAGGACAGCGGUCUAUAAAGUCAAAGCAAAGAAGACGACAACGAUACCGAAAUAAAAAGAAGGCAAUAGUGGCAGCACAGAAGCGUGAUUCUCUUAACCUUUUUGAAAACAACUUAUGUAAACGAUGGAAAAAAAGGGAAGAAUUUAGCCAGCAAAUUGAAGGACUAGAAACAGCAGAAAAAGGAAUGAACAUGUUCUUGCAAAACAAACUUAUGCAGGAAAGUAAACGGAUUGCUGAAGAAAAGGA